rnacentral:snRNA from 1 species
AGAUCACAAUGAGCCUUGUGCUAAAGCUGGAAUAACAGAAGAUUAGCAUGACCCUUGCACAAAGAUUACACACAAAUUCAUGAAUCAUUCCAUAUUUUU